GCGCGAAACCUCUGCAAUGCGGGAAACCGUGACAGGGGGAUCCCAAGUGCUCAUGCAUUGCAUGGGCUGUUCUUUGGUCUAAGUAACCAGAGGAGUAAGGGCUGGGCAAGACCGGUGCCAGCCGCCGCGGUAAUACCGGCAGCUCAAGUGGUAGCCGCGAUUAUUGGGCCUAAAGCGUUCGUAGCCGGAUAAGUAAGUCUUUGGUUAAAUCCUGCGACUUAACCGUGGGAAAUCUAGAGAUACUGCUUGUCUUGAGACCGGGAGAGGUUGGAGGUACUCCCAGGGUAGGGGUGAAAUCCUGUAAUCCUUGGGGGACCACCUGUGGCGAAGGCGUCUCACCAGAACGGCUCCGACAGUGAGGGACGAAAGCUGGGGGAGCAAACCGGAUUAGAUACCCGGGUAGUCCCAGCCGUAAACGAUGUGCGUUAGGUGUAUCGGUGACCACGAGUCACCGAGGUGCCGAAGAGAAAUCG
rnacentral:rRNA from 1 species